GACGUAGGGUGCGAGCGUUGUCCGGAUUUAUUGGGCGUAAAGAGCUCGUAGGCGGCUUGUCGCGUCGACUGUGAAAACCCGCGGCUCAACUGCGGGCCUGCAGCCGAUACGGGCAGACUAGAGGUAUGCAGGGGAGAACGGAAUUCCUGGUGUAGCGGUGGAAUGCGCAGAUAUCAGGGGGAACACCGGUGGCGAAGGCGGUUCUCUGGGCAUUACCUGACGCUGAGGAGCGAAAGUGUGGGGAGCGAACAGG
rnacentral:rRNA from 1 species